rnacentral:lncRNA from 1 species
CCAUUGUACAGCUUUGCAGUAUCAACACACAUAGCUUUGUUUUGUGAACAAGCUCUUAAGAAAGAAAAAAAAAAAAAUCGCAGUUUACCAAUGGGCUUAAACAGACAUCAGACUGUGAAACAGCACACACCUUACAGGGCAGAAGCAGGACUACAGGAGACUACUGAGCACCGACCCUCCAGGAAGAACAGAGGAAGAAACUACCCAAUGCCUUUAAUGUUGACUAAGGUCAGAGAUACUGAUCUUCUAAAAUAGCUUUAUAUUACAGAUGCUUUAGAAGCUUCACUAAAGAGGUUUGUAUCAAGUUCCCAUUUGUUC